AAAAAUAAAAAGACUUCUCAAUCCAACUCUUCGAUUUCUUAUUCCCCGUCUUUUCGAGAUCAAUUUCCCACUCUUCAUUCCGCAUCCCCAUAAUCAGGGUAUUGGUAUAUAUGUCAGGGAUGGUUAACUCUAUUCGUUAUUAUUUCAUUCCUCUGUGGUAUAUCUCUCCCUACUAUUCCUUCCUUCCAUCUUCCUCACUUUUGGCACCCACGAUUACUUCUUGUAUACUCCUCCCUCUUCUUCUCCAAAG
rnacentral:lncRNA from 1 species